rnacentral:tRNA from 1 species
CGGUGUAGCUCAAUUGGUAGAGCAACUGACUUGUAAUCAGUAGGUUGAGGGUUCAAUUCCUUUCGCCGG